GACGAACGCUGGCGGCGUGCUUAACACAUGCAAGUCGAACGGAAAGGCCCUGCUUGCAGGGUACUCGAGUGGCGAACGGGCGAGUAACACGUGGGUGCUCUGCCCUGCACUUCGGGAUAAGCCUGGGAAACUGGGUCUAAUACCGGAUAUGAGCCAUUUUUAGUGUGAUGGUUGGAAAGUUUUUUCGGUGUAGGAUGAGCUCGCGGGCUAUCAGCUUGUUGGUGGGGUAAUGGGCUACCAAGGCGGCGACGGGUAGCCGGACUGCGAGGGUGGACGGCCCCCUUGGGACUGAGGGACGGCCCAGGAGCCUACGGGAGGCAGCAGGGGGGAAGAUUGAACAAUGGGCGCCAGCCUGAUGCAGCGACGCCGCGUGGGGGAUGACGGCCUUCGGGUUGUAAACACCUUUCGCUAGGGACGAAGCUUUUUGUGACGGUACCUAGAUAAGAAGCACCGGCUAACUACGUG
rnacentral:rRNA from 1 species